AUCCAGCCGAAAAGAGUCCUAAAUAGGACGAAAUUCACAUCCUGGAU
rnacentral:hammerhead_ribozyme from 1 species